AUGAGAAAAAAAUGGCACUUGCUUUCAACAUUCAUCGACUCUUGCUGAACAUUUAGAUAGACCAAGCAGUGGACGUGAGCACAGUGAGGAGCUAAGUUCUUCAGUUUUGAAUGUUAAUGGCAGCGUGACGUCUCAGAGGUUCUGCACCCUGUUUUUAGAGGCAAGCACUCAAGAAAAGCCUGCUUCUCUGAUGACAGCAGGAGUUACACACACAGUUAUACAAGAAAACAUCUGUUGAACUCCAUGUAACCUGAAAACCAUACUUGGUCUGGUCUAGAAAUCUGUGGGAGAGUAAGUGCAGGAUCUGGUCCCUAAAGCUGCUCCAUCACGUUGCCAAGUAACCAGAGGAGUAAUAUAGUUUGUUUUCCAUGGAGGGCAGGAAGAAUCAAAGUGCUUGUGUGAAGGAUCACAGAGCCUAAGGAAAUGUGUGAUCAGUGAGGAGACUGAAACCAGCAUGAUCCUGCCACUUAGAGACAUUCUGUACCCUAAGUGUGUCUCAUGCCUUCUUAUUUCUGCCCUCUCCAUGGACGACCUAGAAGAACAGUAGCUCACUACAGUUCUCAUGUGAUAACUGAAUGUGAACUAAUAGCGAGCUGACAAUACACUUUCAUGCUUUAUGAAAAGGAGUAUAUGAGGGAGCUGACAAGAGUAAGGAGACCUGGAAAUGUUCCCUGGUCACUUCAGCCUUGUCACUGUCACUUCUUCAGACAGCAAGCAUCUGUGGGGAAGAGCGAGCUGGAGGAACCUGCUCUAGGGAAUCUGCACCAUGUCUGCAUACAGGCUGGGCAAGACUUGCAAGCCACAAGUAGACCAUUUGUCUUUGGUCCCAAAAGAUCAUGAAUGCCUGAAAUGGUGCUGCAGACACUAAGAAUGCAAGAAGGAACUUUCAAAUCAAGAAUUUCAGGAGGAAAGAUAAAAGGUUUUGGACUUUUCAUUGAAGGUACAGUUCAUUCAUGCUUUCCAUUGUUUUCUAUAUUCCUUGCUCUUUACUGUAGGAUACUUUCCCACUUGACAGUAAAAAAAAGAAGAGACAGUUCACAUCUCUUGCGACAUCCAACCAGAAAAAAAAAAAAUGCAGCUAGUUUAGAUGAGCAUUUAAUGGAAAUGUAAAGUUAUAGAUACAGAGGUCAACCUCUUGUUUUACAGUUGUGCUGUCUGUAAAACAUUGGAUUCCUAGUCCACCAUCAAUUACGGGUAUUACCACAGUAACAGUAUACAGUCAGGGUGUAUUUUUCCCUAUGUAUAAUAAAUUAACAUGGUUCAUGUAAAUUCCUGAAUUGGUACUUAUGUCCUUUUGUUAUCACCUCUGAUACUGGUUACAUGGAAUCAGGGAAGUCAUUUUUCUCUGCCUUGGUUUUGCUUUGUUUCUAAUAUUCCCUUCAGCUGGAAAAUGAUUUUAGUUCUCUAUUACAAAAAUGUGAUAUAAAUCUAGUCCUGAGAAUCUUAAAAUCUGUAGGAAACAGCUGAAUAAAUGGAGUUUAUUAAAUGUGACUUCCUACAGUCUUAGUGAGGACUUCUCUAACAAUUAAAGCCAGAAUUCUCAAAUGGCAGAAGCUUUUUUUGUCUGUCCAUUCUCAGAAGUGAUUCAACCUCUUAGCUUAGCCCAGAACGUGUGCAGAAAUGCAUCUCCCACAUUAUUCAGAUGGUGUUAAUUGAGGGCUUUCUGCUUUCCUAACAAAAGAGGUGAUAAAUGUCUCUCCCUUUUCGUUUAAAAUCUUCACCUCCUACAGUAGUUUCAGUGUGUUUGAGUGGAUAUAAUAAGUAGACUGCAGAAAUUAAUUAAUUAUAUGUGUUAACUUCUCACUUUUUGCCUUUGUUGAAUCUUCUCUUUUUUCCCUCGGCCUUGACUUUUGCAAAAUUAAAGUUGUCUCCCAGGGUGUAUAGCUU
ensembl:lncRNA